AGUGAACGCUAGCGAUAGGCUUAACACAUGCAAGUCGAGGGACCGGCGCACGGGUGCGUAACGCGUAUGCAACCUGCCUGUAAUUAGGGAAUAACCCGGUGAAAGUCGGACUAAUACCCUAUAAUUACAGAUGGGCAUGCGUCCCAUUAGCUUGUUGGUAAGGUAACGGCUUACCAAGGCAACGAUGGUUAGGGGGACUGAGAGGGUGCCCCCCCGCACUGGUACUGAGACACGGACCAGAUUCCUACGGGAGGAAGGAGUGAGGAAUAUUGGUCAAUGGGAGAGAGCCUGAACCAGCCAAGUCGAGUGAAGGACGACUGUUUAUGGAUUGUAAACUUAUUUUGUAGAGGAAUCUGUACUCUACGAAGAAGUAUCGGCUAACUCCGUGCCAGCAGCCGCGGUAAUAC
rnacentral:rRNA from 1 species